rnacentral:lncRNA from 10 species
GCACAGCUCCAGAGAGCUUCGAGGGCCAAGUCUGCAGUUUGGUUGCUUCCUCCUGAAAUCAACGUGGGAGUCUUAAAAGCACGGGGAGAAUAGUCUACUCAGCAGGGAGCAUUUCGGGAUGAUGCAGCCAUUCAUAGGAAGCAUGGAGAGGCUUGAACUGGACCAUGUGGUGCUGGAGAGGCCAUUGCACUGACUGGCAAGAGAAGACCUGCUUCACCGUGGUCCACACAGUAAUUUCCCUGGCUUCACUCAAGGCUAACUGUCCUCCAGCAAAACACCCCUCUUUUCCUCUCACAGAUGAAGCAGAGUUCUGGUGGCUGGAAGUCUGAAAUCAAGUUGUUGGCAGUGCCAGCUCCUUCUGAAGCCUCUAGGGUAAGAUCCUUUCUUCCUUCUUCCAGCU